rnacentral:snRNA from 1 species
AGCCGUGCAGUGAGCACAGAGCGAACUAUUCUUUCGCCUUUUACUAAAGAAUACCGUGCGCUCGCUGCAAGAAGCGGCAUACGCCAAUUUUUGAAGGGCUUUUCCUCUUUGGAGAAU